rnacentral:rRNA from 1 species
UAAAAGUUUUAUAUUUGCUUUAAAGUAAGUAAUAUAUUAAUCUCUCAUAUCAUAUGGUAGAGAAUAAAUUUAUAUAAAUUUCAAUUAGUUAUAGGUAAUAUAAAGAUCUAGAAAAUCAUGUGCCAGCAUCUGCGGUCAAACCUGAGGAUUAACUUACUUUAAUCUAUACUUGACUUAAUAUGUAAAAAAAAACAGAAUUAUUAUUUUUGGUUCAAUAAAAAUAAUAUUUAAAUUUAAAAAAAAACGUACUAAAACUAAUUAAAAAACCGGGAUUAGAUACCCCGUUAUAAUAGUUAAUGAAAGUUAUAGAAAAGUAUUAUUAAUAUAAGAAAUUUAAAUUUUAUGACAGUUAGAAAUUCGGAUUAGAAGAAUAUGUCUCUUAAAUAGAUGGUACCCAAAGAAUCAUACUUAUUUUUGAAUAUCACUCUUCCCACCGCCGUUUAUGGUAUAGAUAAAUUUAAGCCAGUAAUAGAAAAAAAUUUUUUUUUCGAAUAAAUCAGGUAAAGGUGAAGGUAAUAAAUAAGGUGAGAUGUAUUACAAUUUUUAUAUAAGUGAAUAAAUUUUUUAAAAAAUUUUUUGAAAAUGAAUUUAAGAGUAAUAAAUUUUAAUAAUAAAUUUAUGAAUUCGAUCUUUCUUUUGUACAAAUCGCCCGUCACCCCCGAGUCAUUCUUGGGGUAAGUCGAAACAAAGUAAAAGUACUGGAAAGUGUUUUUAUAUA